AUAGAGAUGGGAAGAGGAUCCAGAGGCUGACCUUGGACUUGGGCUGGCCUACUGAUUGCAGACUGCCUGGGCUGCUGCCACUGCUUUGUCUCUCCCUCCAGCUGCACUCAAGGCCCCCAUUGAUCAGCCCACUGAAUGUUUUACAGCUACAGCUUUGGACAGGUGGGAGAACUGAAGCUUGGAGAUGUGAAGUGACUUGUCCAGAUGAUUGGCCCUUAAAUCCGCAUGGCCUGACUCCCAAGCAGAUGUGGUCUCUAAGGUACAUGGUGCAGUAGUUUUUGAUCCAUGUUGAUUCCCUUUUCUUCUGCAUCCUUUGGUUCAGAUGCUCAGUGUUAAAUAG
rnacentral:lncRNA from 1 species